GUAGCAGAUGGGAUCUGCAGUGGCUAAACAGUCCAAUCGUGGAGCUGCGGACUCUACCACAGGUAGGGCAGGAGGAGCUUGAUGAGUUGGAUACUCUAGAUUCAGAGAUUAAUGCUAGGAACUCGUACUCACGUACCUGGGGUUUGUUAGUUUGUAGCAUGACUUCCAGAUCUGAAGCAUGUGCUUGCAGGUGAAUGUAAAAGAACUCAUGGUGCUACUUUGAAGAGGAGCAGAGGAGUUCAUCUUGGUGCUUUGAACAUUGCUCAUCUUUCAAUCAACGGCACUGUGAAACUAUCUGGG